rfam:Cymbidium ringspot tombusvirus RNA
AGCGAGUAGGACAGACUCUUCAGUCUAGGUUGGAGGAAGCAGGAGAACACUGCUUGAGGGUACAGGUUA